rnacentral:tRNA from 1 species
GGCGGAUUAGCCAACGUCGAUGGC